ACACUCCUGCGGGAGGCAGCAGUGGGGAAUUUUGGACAAUGGGGGCAACCCUGAUCCAGCAAUGCCGCGUGAGUGAAGAAGGCCUUCGGGUUGUAAAGCUCUUUUGUCAGGGAAGAAACGGUGGUGGCGAAUAACUACUACUAAUGACGGUACCUGAAGAAUAAGCACCGGCUAACUACGUGCCAGCAGCCGCGGUAAUACGUAGGGUGCAAGCGUUAAUCGGAAUUACUGGGCGUAAAGCGUGCGCAGGCGGUUGUGUAAGUCAGAUGUGAAAUCCCCGGGCUCAACCUGGGAAUUGCAUUUGAGACUGCACGGCUAGAGUGUGUCAGAGGGGGGUAGAAUUCCACGUGUAGCAGUGAAAUGCGUAGAUAUGUGGAGGAAUACCGAUGGCGAAGGCAGCCCCCUGGGAUAACACUGACGCUCAUGCACGAAAGCGUGGGGAGCAAACAGGAUUAGAAAUCCUAGUAGUCCCAU
rnacentral:rRNA from 1 species